rnacentral:siRNA from 1 species
UUGCAAUUCCUCCAAAUACAAA